rnacentral:misc_RNA from 1 species
GUAUGUAUGCGUGGGUACUGAGGAUAAAGUUAUGGCGCCUGCUUAUUUGUGAGUGCUGUAGAAGUCAAAGUGCGCAACGAGCGUUUCCUUCUGAUCCAUUCGUGUCUCUUCGGAGGGAUCGACUUGAUUUUGCGACCCUUCGAUGCCUUUAGAAGACCACUUCAAUUCCAGAAGAUUCCUCCUUCAUCAGUUCGAACACAAUUUCGAGUACAACGAAGUUCCUGUAACGUGUAAUUAACUUUGAUUUUUUCAAGAAGGCGUCCCUAACGGGAGUUCCUUCUCGAGGGCUGAAAUCGGUCCUUCGGGUAGCUGAACGUCUUCGGGAUAAUUCCGGAGAAAAUGGCCAGUGAUCUGUCCAGUGGUUGCACAGAGGCCAUCGAGAUAUUGGACGAGAAGGAAGAGGGCGAGAUCUCGCUGGACGACGUCAGCUCCUGGGAAGAGUCGCAGCUUAAUUAUGCAUACAAUCUUCAAAAAGCUGGACAGUGUCCCUGCUGCCUUUCGUGGCAACAUUGUGCACCUUGGUGCACGUUAACUGGCAAUUCAAAGAAAUUUAAGAGGCGAAAGAGGAGAGAUGCUGUGCAAGAGAAGGAGAACCGCCAUCAUACCAGGGAAUCUGGCUACCCUGGAAGCAAGCAUGCGGGUUCGACGUUGCAAGAGAAAAACGAGGGUCUCGUACCAAUCUCGAGUGACAGCGACAUGGACCUCGGGGACUGCGACGAUUCCACCGAUUUGGAGCGCAUGAAACAAACGCGAGAAAGCCUGCUCUUAAGACUAAGUAAAAAGCGCAAAAAAAAGAAACGGAAACGUAUCCAUGGCUCCAUCGGUGCUCAGAAUGAACACGUACCACCAUCCUCCUUUGUCACAUCAUCGGGAUGCUUUGUCUCUGCUGCAUGUUCACCAAUACCUGCACAAGACGACACCGAAUCGCUACUAAUACCCGUAGAAUCAAGUCCUCCACAUCUAAAUGAAUGCCUUAGUAAACCCAAAGUUUCCAGGUCUCCACCGAGAAAGUAUAAAUCUCCAAUUAGAUACCAAUCACCUAUUCGUAGACCAAGAUCACCUAUUUCUUUGACUACAAGGUCACCAGAUCCUAGAAGAAUUACUCGAUCGCUCAGGGGCACGAGAAGAUCUCCUCGAAGAUCUCCCAUAAGGUCACCUCAUCGGCGAUCUCCUAUAAGAUCACCUCAUCGGCGAUCUCCCAUAAGAUCACAACAUCGUCGAUCCCCAGUAAGAUCACCUCCUCGAAAAGUGGCCAGAAAUACAUCACCUUCUCGAGGUUACAGUAACAGAAGUCACGGAACAGUGGCAAAGCUUCUAAAAAAGGUACGACAUUUGGAAACGGUUGGGUCUCAACCUUUGAGUAAGUUUAAAGGAGGUAAAAAGUAUGGGCCAUCUUUGAAGCAGAAAUUAAACAUAGUGAAGGAAUCAAGUGCUGCAGGUAGUGAAACAAAAGCAAGCGAGAAAAAUAGUUCAAAUAAUAAUACUAAUAAUGAUGCCGAUGACGAGGAAGAUAUAGCUUUGCUCAGAAAAAUCGCUUUAGAAACGAAGUCGCAGAGGAGAACUAAGAGGAAUGCAAUUCCUUCAAAAAGUGAGGCUGAAAUCCAGCCUUCCUGUGUAAUCGAUCUGGAAGAUAGCGAUUACGAAGACUUAGAGUUGAGAAGAAUUGCCCUGAAGUCAGCGGUUCUUAGGAAAAGGGAAGAUGGAGUCCAAACGGAGAAGUCUUAUCUCGUAGAAUUAACAAAUCUUUCCAAACAUCCUUGUAGUCAAAGCUUUUUAGACAGUAUUCCAAUUCCUGGGGAAGAAGACAAACCGGAAACACCACCACCGCCUGUGAUAACUACCAAUGAGAAUAAUUAUACCGAAGACAUGGAUCUUGACACUGAUGUAGAGCGCGAAAAGGAGAGGCUACCAUAUUCUCCGACCGAUGACGUUUCUAAUGAAAUUAUGGUGGAAACGGAAUUACUAGGCAUUCAAAGAUCAGAUGUUUCCUUCAUGGGAGCUGAUCGAACACCAGCUGCAUCCAACAAUUGCAGUCCCGUGUACAGUAGCAUCAAUAAUGACCGAAUUCGCCUCCCAAGGAAAGAGACGCUUAGCAGUAAAGAUGAAUUAUCUUUGGAGUACUUUAACUCCAUGAAAAACCUUUCUUAUUUACCACCGAUGGAUGGGCCUUACUCCCCAUCGCAUCCUACGGACACUCCGCGGAUUGAUUAUUAUUCCAGAAACGUCAUUCAAUGCGUUACAACUGUCCAAACGGAAAGGAUAUCCCUAGGAACGAAUCUAGUUAUCCCCAGUCAGGAAAGACCUUACUCUCCUACAGAUACUCCGAUUUAUGAUCCGGAACUAGAUCUUUCUAAAUUGAAACCACACGAGCCUGAUCUAAGCACGCCAAAGUCUAGCUACGUUCCCGAAGUGACAAUGUGCUCGAAGCGAUUAGUACUUGAACAAUGCGCCUUACAGAAUGCGGGAUUUCAAACAAAAUCCAACAAUCAAUCCACUAGGUCCGAAUUGUACGAUCCAGAAUUGGCUCUCUCCCAUUCUGACAUGUACAAUGUGGAGUCUGAAGCGAUAUUGUCUCCGUCCAAGUCAUAUGAUCCGGAUUCUUUCCAGCGAAGCUUAGUAAAUGAAUCUGAAAACAAUGUACUUCCUACAAAUGAUACCGCAACUAGUUGCUCGGUGACGAGCAACAUGAUGGCGAAUUGUUCAGAAAGUAAUCUCGAUCGAAACAAUGUUUGUGGAGCUUGCGAUAAAGCCGAUAAAUCGGAAGUAUCUCCAUCUCUGCAGUAUGCUUCCUUAUCACCCAGGGGAAGUACCGUGUCAUUAACCAGCUCCGUAGCUAGCUUUGACUUUGAUCCAGAUAUUGACCCUGGCAGUCUGUCUAAAGGACAAUCUUCCCAGAAUGUUCAAAGCUCGGAGUCCCUCGAUGAAAUCGCCCGUGACAUAGAAAGGAUUGUCCAGGAGCCGCUUUAUUUAAAAGGUAUACACAUAACUAAAGAUCCUAAUAAGAUUCCUACCUUGGUUAACAGAACGCUGGUUCCUGUCUCUAUAUUGAAGAACAAUAAACAGUUGCAACAACCUCUUCCUCCUAAAAAGUUGGAGGAGCAAAAGCGAAUCGAGCCGGCAUUCAAGAGUGCCGAUAUGCAGCCGGUGGAAAUUGAUGCAGACUUGUCGAAAAGCAACGGGAACUUUAAGCCGAUCAAACUGUGUUCCUUUGCAAAGAAGCAACAAUUUCAGAAGUCCGCUUCCGUUGCCCUUAAUGUUCCUCCCACUGAAGGCGAUCCGGAAUCGCCUAGAAACAAGAAUAGAACUCAGGAAAGUAGUGAAAAGGACGUACAUCGCUUGUUGGAUGCUCAAAGCAAUGUUGCUAUACAUGAGCGAAUCGAAGAAGGAGAAAAGACGAAGAAUUUGAACGAUAAGAAGAAAAGGAAACGCUCAACUGAAGAGGAACGCAGUAAAAAGCAUUCCGAAAGGUCUAGACAAAACAGUCCCGAUGAAGUGACUAGGAAUAAUGUAAACUGUAAUGAAAAGGGACUUUCUUCGGAUGUUUCUUCCUUUCACAAUUAUUGCCAGGUUCGGGAGAUUGCGGGGAGACAAUCAAAGCCUGACGAUCGAACAGAAGAUAAUAAAGAAUUACGUGAUGUUCCAUCGGAAAAAGAAAAUAACAAAGUAAGUUUACAGAUUAGUGACAAUAACAAGCUUAAUGACGACGUUGGGAAACGGAAAGGCGACUCGGAUAGAAAUCCUAAGGAACAAGAGCUUGCUAUCAAAUCUACUACAGAUAAUGUUAAAAGUGUUGCGAAACAAAUAAAGGAAAGUAUCAAUGAGAAAGGAGAAACGAGGGAAGGAAACGCCGCAAAUCAGCCAAGUCAGAAUAUGCCGUCGUUCGAGAAAAGUAGUGAAAAAAUGGCCGACAGUGUAAGUACUUUUGCUCAAACAGACAAAGUUGUUCUAAAUAAUAGGAAGACUAUUGAUAAGAGCGGAAAUUCUGGAAAGAACCUAAUCGAUGAGAAGCCAGAUGAACGGGCAAGACGUCCUAGCAUCGAUGAAGACGAAGAAGAACUUCGAGCGCUCUUGUUAGCAUCCAUGGCCAAGCGGGCAAAAACAGAAGUUUCAACGUCAGCAACAACAAAGAGCACGGCAACAACAAGUUCUACGGCUAUUUCGAGAAAUGCAGUAACUACGACGACUGUUACGAUUCCUGUAGCUACUGUGUCGACAGUUUCAGGAGCUGCGAGGGUAAGUACGCAGUCCGUAACUACAUUUCCAACGACUGCAGCAUCUACAGGAACAACAAAUGUAGCAGCACGAGCUACGGUGUCUUCCGCGCCUGAAAUUAUCACCAAGGAAAUGAAUUAUGCAGCUGGUGCAUAUUCCAAAACUGCAGUUGCCACUAAACAGGGUGACCGUGGUGAUGGCAAAGGACAAAAGCUUCCUGCGAACUCCUCGGCGAGUCGAGUAGCAUCAGAAGUUAGAUUUAACUCACAGCCUGGAAAACGUGUAAAUUGUCCUGCAACGGCUAAUACUGCGCCACAAGGUGCAGUAGCAAAUGCACCAUUGGGUGCAUUGAGCAUAGGUAAUUCUGUCCCUGGAUCGGUGGUACCGACAACAAAGAGCGAAGGUCUGAUUUCUGCGAGGAGGAAACCAUCGGUCUUUGUUCCUAAGGCAACUGCGAGGAAAAUCGUAAAGAAAACUCCUAUCCCUGCCAGCACUAGAGUGGUGAACAACGCUAAAAGGUACCAGAACGUUUUGAACCAGAAAAAGAUGAAUCUGCUAGACGCUGGAGGUGCUUUCAGGGCGCAGAAACCAUUGGUUAACGCUACCCUGCAGAACGUCAAGUAUGAGAGCACUCGUUCCAUCAGUCCAAAGACGGUUUUCUCGGAGACUAACAGAUUUAUUAUAUGCUUGAAUUCUGACUCGGAAAGCGAGACGGAAACUAAUGUACCGAUGUCCAAUGUCGCUGUCAACUCGGAUGCCGGUGGGACGACGAAACGACCGCCUUUGAACAUCCCUACCUCGGAAUUCGAGAAGAGCGUCGACCAAUUUCUCAGAGACGUGAGGAAGAAGCAGGAAUCCGCUGCUGCUAGCAAAUCUCCGUCACAGGGAAAUUCUGUAGCCAGCCAGAAACAACCUUCGUUGAACACGACUGCACAAAAGCCUCAGCCUCCCACGCCAUCAGCAAGUGCGAAAUUACCCGCGAUUUCUGUUACACCUUUGGCGGUCCGUCACCUCCCUGCAUCGCAACAAGAGGAAUAUCGACGUUUAAAACAACAAAUAUUAGAGCGUGAAAAACAAAAGCUGCAACGGAUACUGGACACUAGUAGCAGUACAACUUCCGCCCAACAAAAUAACAAGAAUAACAACAGUCCGACGGGACCAUUGUCUCCAGCAAGUCCUGGGAUAAGUCCACCUUCUAAGCAAAUUCCGCCAUCAACUGUGUUGACUAACUCUACAUUAAUGAAAGAUCGUAGUAUAAAAGUCACCAGUACUGCAAUCAAUAUCGGUAAACGACAAGAACCUGAAGUAAGUGGUGCUGUUUCAAGCACUCCUGAAAUACCAGUUGAUAAGUCAAACCCUCUGGAUAAGUCCAAUAAUCUUCCGAGACCGUCAAUAAAUCCAGUGGCUGAAUUAUCGAAAACAAUUAAUCCUAGUCCAGGAGUUGCAACAUCUAAUACCGAAAUUCUAAAUAAUAAACUUCCUCAAGAGACAGUUGCGACAACGGAUACAUGUGGUGAUACUGAUAUUUCAAUGCAGUCUGAAACAACAAACAUAAUUGUUAAUUCCAAAUCCUUGACUACUAAGUCCAACGAUAAAGAAUUGAAUGAUACAGUCAUUCAAGAAUCAACCGAAAAACUUGUCGAUAAACCGAAUAAUUCGUUACUCAUCCCGAUGCAGUCUGUCUCUGUAACAUCAGAGAAGAUUUCUAUAUCGAAAACUGUUGAUGAAACGUUACGUUCUACGUCUUCAGAAUCGCCUAAACCGCCUCCAGAGUUGCCUAAAACGCCUCCAGAGACCUCUACCAAGAUAACCAACAAGAAUAAAUUAACAACGUUAGAUGUCCCGGAAACUGAAUCGCGGGUUGCAGAUAUGACCGCUGUUCAAGUACCUCGAGCUGAGACACCUAAAAUGGGAAAGGGCUUAUCGAUUUUAACUAAAGAUCAAGUUAACCGGAAAUUUGUACAGAUUCAGUUAAAACACGGUUGUGAAGGCAGAGUCGUAACGUUAGAAGAUAUGGAAACGAGCGUUGUCAACCUCGAAGAAGACCCUGUUUUGGGGAGCAAGAACUGCCGUAACGUCACGACUUCGGAGCCUGUAAAUACCGCUAAUAAAUCGAAAACGCGAAGUGUUUGGAUGAUAGUAAAUAAUAAUGAACCUGUAAAUAAUAGCGUGGAAAUUGUUAAUAAGGAUUUGUCGAGUAAUGCGUCGGUAGACGAUGAGGCGUCUACAUUACUCUUGCCAAAGGACGGCAAUCUUCCUGGAAGCAACGAAACUAUGGAUUCUACUGCUUCUACACUUGUACUGUCGCGAAAUUCGAGGACUAAUAGUACCGAAAGCCCUCGCAGUUCUAGGAGCGCUAGUUGCAAUUCUUCACCGGGCGGGUCUAAAACCAACAGCAGAGCGAAAAUGGAAGAUAUUUUGGAGAAAAUCAAAGCGGAUGUCGAGAAGGAGAUUAAAGGUAUUAGUCAGCUUCCAUUUGCUGACCAAGAGCGGCAACUAUUAGAGGCUGAGCACCAAUUGCUGAAGAAAAGGUACAUGGUCCUGGAUGACUUGACUGAAAUGUCUGGGAAUCUUCGCCUGUGGGAGAUGGAGAGAGACAUUCAAUUGGAUUUGCUGGCAGAAGUGAAUAAACUUCGCGAACAGCUUAAAGUUGUCGAGGAAAGGCUGCAGAUGCAAAAGAAACGCGUCUCCAGUAUGGGACCUAAAGUUGCAGAGGCUCAUGAGAAAAUAAAUUCUGGUCGAAAGGAAUGCUUCAGAUUGUCAAGAUUGUGUGCCGGGCUGGGCCAACGAGUUUGCGGCGAAACCUACAAGGUACCAACUGCGGGCGCAAGUUUGUUAAAUGAUAAAUUAAAGGAAGUUGCGAGUCAUACACGUCCAUUAUCAAGGAAAAGAAUUCCACCUAGUACUUCCAAUUCAGUGUCCCAGACAUUGCUAAGUAAUGAAGUUCGCAGACCUGAAAAGUCUAUACCAAAGGAAUCCAAAAGUAAUGGAAACACUGGGCAGAAGAUAAUGUCUAGUACUAACGAACAAAAGAGCUCAGUUGCAAGUGCACAGGGAAAGAGUUCGGAGGUACAAAAGCAAAGCGUGAACACUAAUGUGCAAAGAAAUAUUUCUUGUAAGAGUGUUCAGGAAAAGCUCUCAGCUAUAAGUGUGAAAAACAAUUCAAAUGCAAGUGUAAGAAAGAAUUUGAGCGAUAAUGUACAAAUAACAACGGCAGAAAAGAACUUAAUUUCAGGUGUAGAAAGAAACUCAAGUAAAAAUGUACAAAGUAAUAUAAAUAUUGAGUCACGGAACAGUCCGAAUGAGAAUGUAUCACAAAAUGUAGCAACAAAUGUGCCUACAGAUGUAAACGAAAAGCUAAAUGAGAACAAUAUUUCGAAAAAUAAGGAAAGUACCAUUCAAGGUAACUCCGAGGACCAUAGAACCGAAUUAGAACAAGUUACUACAGACACGUCUGUGCAGUUUAUUGUAAGUUCCGUACAAGAGAAAUCUCAUAAUGGAACGAGUUCCUCAAAUGAAAAGACCCCUCUGAAGCAAGUAAAUGUCUUCGACAAAACGAAUUCCCUUCAGGAAGUAAGUUCUGAGAUACGGCAAGAUAUUGAAGCGGAUAGAGAGUCGAAUUCUGUAAUAGAGAUAAAUCCCUCGAAUGAAACGAGCACACUUGCACACGAAAUUAAUUCCCUUAAAGAGCCAACUUGUACUAAAGAGUCACAUUUACAGGCAGUCAAUAGAAUUGAUUCUGCCGAAGAAACAUGUCCUUCGAGUGAAAUGAACUCUCAAAAACAAACCGAUAUUCCUAACGAAAGGAGUUCUGUCGAUAAUCCAAGUUCUACGGAACAGCCAAACUCUGAAACUCUUGAAAUAUCCGAUUCCGUUGAAGUUUUGAAUCCUGAAGAACGGCCACAUGCUGCUAUGGAGUCGAUUUCAGCCGAACAAAGUUGUGCCGAGAGUCAACAAACAAUUGUCAAGCAAUCUAUUCCUGUGAGGAAAUCCAGGUCUAUGAAACGAAUGAGUUUAGCGAAGAGACGCAACUCUAUCGUGGGAGAAAAUUGUUCCAAGGAAUCAAAUUCUGCCGUGCAAUUAAAUUCCCAUGAGAGCGUAAAUAGUCUUCCUACUGAUAGUCUUACACAAAACGCCUCCGUACAAAUAGUAGGACCGCCAACGAGUGCUCCUCGAUAUCACCAUAAAAAUCGCCAUGUACGCCUUCUUGAACCAAGCCAAGAUAUGCCGGAUCGUUCGUGCAAUCACAAAAAGAGUUUCGAGCCUUAUAAGUCGCUGUUAACAUCGUUUAGGGAGACAAGGAAACCUCUUCCCGACGGGAUUCUCUGCCCGUACGAAUUGAUGGGCACUUGCCGCGACGGAGAUUGCCCGUUUGUUCAUCACAAUGUCAGUCACGGCCAGUAGCAAUUUAGCUGCUGACAUGCACACAACAAACUUUGUAUACGUACAUUUCUUCCGAAAAGCGAGAGAGCCGCUGAUGGGACGGCCACGCAUUGGAGGGCCAACUGCUACCGAAGAUGCUUUUGAGAUCGUUUUACCAGGUUUUAUUUAACAUGAAUGUAUAUAAAGUGCCGUGUAUUUCUCGAGUGUUUACGAUAUGUACAAAGAGAAGGAGAGAUUGUUGACCAAUCGCUCAAGGGAGACCUCGAGGAACUCCAAAUUCGGAUGUCGAAGACCCACAGGCCAUUGCGACGGAUAUUCGUUGCAUAUUUUACAUACCUCAUAAUUGUAACUCUUGUACCUGUGUAAUAAAAAUUAAAUUCUUUUCGUAAA